UCUACAGUGUACGUUUCUUAGUUGCCGUGCAGGCGCACUGCGUAGCCUACAACGUGCGUUUCUUGAAGUUGGAAUCAUGGCGGAAU